CAAAAACAUGGCUUUCUGUUUUAUGUAGAUAGAAGGUCUGGCCUGCCCGGUGGGAGUUUUAUCCUAAACGGUCGCAGCUGCCACUGUGCGAAGGUAGCGUAAUAGGUCGUCCUUUAAUUGGGGGAGAGUAUGAAUGGUCGGAUGUUGGAGGAACUUUAUUGGAGGCAUAAAUUGAAGUUUACUUUUCAGUGCAAAGGCUGAGAUGAGUUUAUUAGACGAGAAGACCCUAUUGAGCUUGGUAAGCCUAAAUGUUUGUGGUUUAGGUGUAUGUUUUUUCGGGGCCGAAAAGAAGGGAUUUAAUAUCUUCUAUUAUUGACAAGGAUCCAGCGAGGCUGAGAAGAGGAAGAUAGUUACCAUAGGGAUAACAGCGCAAUUUCUUUGAUAAGAUCAUAUUUAAGGAGGAGUUUGCGACCUCGAUGUUGAAUCAGAGUUUCUACCAGGUGUAGCGGUUUGGUAAGUAGGACUGUUCGUCCUUUAAAGCUCUACGUGA
rnacentral:rRNA from 1 species